AUUGAACGCUGGCGGCAUGCCUUACACAUGCAAGUCGAACGGCAGCGGGGGAGAAGCUUGCUUUUCCUGCCGGCGAGUGGCGAACGGGUGAGUAAUACAUCGGAACGUGCCCUGUAGUGGGGGAUAACUAGUCGAAAGAUUAGCUAAUACCGCAUACGACCUGAGGGUGAAAGUGGGGGACCGCAAGGCCUCAUGCUAUAGGAGCGGCCGAUGUCUGAUUAGCUAGUUGGUGGGGUAAAGGCCUACCAAGGCGACAAUCAGUAGCUGGUCUGAGAGGACGAUCAGCCAGACUGGGACUGAGACACGGCCCAGACUCCUACGGGAGGCAGCAGUGGGGAAUUUUUGACAAUGGGCGAAAGCCUGAUCCAGCAAUGCCGCGUGUGUGAAGAAGGCCUUCGGGUUGUAAAGCACUUUUGUCCGGAAAGAAAUGGCUCUGGUUAAUACCUGGGGUCGAUGACGGUACCGGAAGAAUAAGGACCGGCUAACUACGUGCCAGCAGCCGCGGUAA
rnacentral:rRNA from 1 species